rnacentral:rRNA from 1 species
GCAAGUCGAACGAAGUAGCAAUACUUAGUGGCAGACGGGUGAGUAACAUGUAGGUAUCUACCCUUUGGCCUGGAAUAACACGAGGAAACUUGUGCUAAUACCGGAUAAGUCUUUACGGAGAAAGCUUUAUGCACCAUUGGAUGAGCCUGCACUUGAUUAGUUUGUUGGUAGGGUAAUGGCCUACCAAGACUGUGAUCAAUAGCUGAUUUGAGAGGAUGAUCAGCCACAUUGGGACUGAGACACGGCCCAAACUCCUACGGGAGGCAGCAGUGGGGAAUCUUGCACAAUGGAGGAAACUCUGAUGCAGCGAUGCCGCGUGAGUGAAGAAGGCCUUUGGGUUGUAAAGCUCUUUCGUCGGGGAAGAAAAUGACUGUACCCGAAUAAGAAGGUCCGGCUAACUUCGUGCCAGCAGCCGCGGUAAUACGAAGGGACCUAGCGUAGUUCGGAAUUACUGGGCUUAAAGAGUUCGUAGGUGGUUGAAAAAGUUGGUGGUGAAAUCCCAGAGCUUAACUCUGGAACUGCCAUCAAAACUUUUCAGCUAGAGUUUGAUAGAGGAAAGCAGAAUUUCUAGUGUAGAGGUGAAAUUCGUAGAUAUUAGAAAGAAUACCAAUUGCGAAGGCAGCUUUCUGGAUCAUUACUGACACUGAGGAACGAAAGCAUGGGUAGCGAAGAGGAUUAGAUACCCUCGUAGUCCAUGCCGUANACGAUGUGUGUUAGACGUUGGAAAUUUAUUUUCAGUGUCGCAGCGAAAGCGAUAAACACACCGCCUGGGGAGUACGACCGCAAGGUUAAAACUCAAAUGAAUUGACGGGGACCCGCACAAGUAGUGGAGCAUGUGGUUU